CGAAAAACAACAGGUUUUUGAUUUUACCUAAAAAAGUAUAAUAGAAUAAAAGCAAAAUAAUCAUACUGAAAGAGCACUGGAAUCGCUUUUAAAAUUGAGAAUUUAACAACUUGAGUCUCUAAUAUUUUUAACUAUUUCAACAAUUUCUGUGAUAUUGCGUAUGGAAAAAGUCUAAUAAUCAGGGCUUUAAAGAUAAAACGUUUAAAAUAAGUUAAUAUUGAUGUUAGUGUAAGGAAGUUUUUUUUAAUCUAAAAUACUAAAAUCAAAAAGUCACUCGCAAAACGGAAAAUUAAAUGAAAGCAGCAGAUAACAGCAUCUCACCUGUCAUUAGAUACUUGAAGUGACUCUGCUCUUUUUUUGCAGCAUUGUGUGCGACUGAUGACAUUUCCUUUCAGUCUUAUAGCAGACAAAAACUCCAUCAUGAUGCUGAGAGAGGAACAUGGGGUUUCAUUUCAACGCUGCUUUCCAGGCUACCUGUUCAUUGACUGGCUACUUCAAAACGGGGAGGUGGAAAGUCGGUGUCAGGGUCUGGAAUUGUGCCGUGCUCUGUUGGAGCAUGGCAUCAUUCAGCAUGGUGAACAUGACAGACCUUUGUACUCAAACACAACCAAUAGAAAUGAGCUAACAGCCCCCUCUCAAGGUGUCCUCCUUUUGUCUUUUUGUUUCAAGUGACAAAGAAGCACGACUUCUUUGACAGUGGGCUACUCUAUCAGUUCUGCAUUAAUUUUCGUCGACGCCGUCGCCUUUCUGAGUUGCUAAAUGAAGGUAAACAAGAUGAGGAGGGUACAUCGACGUCUUCUCAGGAGGACAGUCCAUUUAUUCUGAAGAGAGGUCUACCGUCGGAGCACACAGCUUUUCAGUCAGUAUUGAAAAGAAAAGAGCUGAAACAGGUCACCGGCCCACGUCGAAGCAGCUUGAAUGCCCUUCAGCUUCACAGUGCUGGUUUUCCUCCUUUUGAACAGCUGUCUACUGCUUCCUUAAGAUGUAACCCUAAAUCAGGCAGGCCAAGUGUUGCAUUUUUAGGAAUCAUUUGUAUACUUGUUUUUGGAAAAAUGUUUACAUUUUAUUUUAUUUUUUUUUCAGUCCUCAAAAGGCAAGUCACAUGUGAAGAGUUAUUGACUCCUGCUGCACCUUUUAUCAAGAAAGUGUUAACAGUGAUCGGGGACCCUCUUGGCUGGGGUUUUGUUGUCAGAGGUGCUGCGCCAUGCUAUGUGCAGGCUGUUGAUCCUGGAAGCCCCGCAGCAGCAGCUGGAGUUAAGGUACGGCAGUUUGUGUGUCGGGUGAAUGAAAAAACAGUUCUUUACCUGGAUUAUAAAACAGUUACCAGACUGGUGAUGACUGGACCUCGAGUUGUUGUUCUGGAAGUUAUGGAACCACUGGACUAAAAGCAACUCAAUCUGAAUAAAUCCUGAAUGUUGUUUUUUUGCAAAUACGAUAAAGAUUAGAAUAUGUUGAAGUUAAUCCUGAUAUAGAGUUCUUUUAGAAACAAAAUUGCAUGUACAACAGCAGCUAAAGCCAAUGUCAAAGAAAAAUAGGAUUUCCUGUUUUUGAAAAUGUUUACAUUAUUUUCCCAAGGUCUUUCUGAAGUAUCGAGACAUGUUUUGAUCCAAAUUACAAAAGGACGCAGUGAAAAAUAGUACUUCAUGUGAGCUACACAAGGUUAGAUGUGUGGACUGGAAGGGGGUAAAUAAAAAUACAACAAUACACAAUGUUGUUAUUUUCCCUUGUUACUUUUUGGACGUUUGGACACGAGCUGGAGCCUCUGCAAGUAAAUAAAGUACCUGAGGUGUCUACUCUGCAUUUAGUCAAUUAUUACUUUUUAGAAUAUCCUUUUUUAACACUGUAUGCCCCAAGAUGUGUGUUAAUUAAUUUAACUAAGCUAUACAGAGGUGCACUGUGUACAGAGAAUAUUUGCAAUGUUUUCCAAUAAACUGGUCUUACACUACUUUGCAUUUUCAA